rnacentral:tRNA from 1 species
GCAUUGGUGGUUCAGUGGUAGAAUUCUCACUUCCCAUGCAAGAGAUCCGGGUUCGAUUCUCAGUCAAUAUA